UACGAAGGGGGCUAGCGUUGCUCGGAUUGACUGGGCGUAAAGGGCGCGUAGGCGGAUAGUACAGUCAGGCGUGAGAUUCCUGGGCUCAACCUGGGGGCUGCGUUUGAUACGUAUUGUCUGGAGUUCGGAAGAGGGUCGUGGAAUUCCCAGUGUAGAGGUGAAAUUCGUAGAUAUUGGGAAGAACACCGGUGGCGAAGGCGGCGACCUGGUCCGAUACUGACGCUGAGGCGCGAAAGCGUGGGGAGCAAACAGG
rnacentral:rRNA from 1 species